AUUGAACGCUGGCGGCAGGCCUAACACAUGCAAGUCGAACGAGUGGCGGACGGGUGAGUAAUGUCUGGGACACUGCCCGAUGGAGGGGGAUAACUACUGGAAACGGUAGCUAAUACCGCAUACCAUCGGAUGUGCCCAGAUGGGAUUAGCUUGUCGGUGGGGUAACGGAUCACCUAGGCGACGCUCCCUAGCUGGUCUGAGAGGAUGACCAGCCGAAUGGGAACUGAGACACGGUCCCGACUCCUAGGGGAGGCAGCAGUGGGGAAUAUUGCACAAUGGGCGCAAGCCUGAUGCAGCCAUGCAGCGUGUAUGAAGAAGGCCUUCGGGUUGUAAAGUACUUUCAGCGGGGAGGCGUUACCCGCAGAAGAAGCACCGGCUAACUCCGUGCCAGCCGCCGCGGUAAUAC
rnacentral:rRNA from 1 species